CAGUGAGGAAGGUGGAUAUGUUAAUAGCAUAUUCAUUUUGACGUUAGCUGCAGAAGAAGCACCGGCUAACUCCGUGCCAGCAGCCGCGGUAAUACGGAGGGUGCGAGCGUUUAAUCGGAAUUACUGGGCGUAAAGCGCAUGCAGGUGGUUUGUUAAGUCAGAUGUGAAAGCCCGGGGCUCAACCUCGGAAUUGCAUUUGAAACUGGCAAACUAGAGUACUGUAGAGGGGGGUAGAAUUUCAGGUGUAGCGGUGAAAUGCGUAGAGAUCUGAAGGAAUACCGGUGGCGAAGGCGGCCCCCCUGGACAGAUACUGACACUCAGAUGCGAAAGCGUGGGGAGCAAACAGGAUUAGAUACCCUGGUAG
rnacentral:rRNA from 1 species